UACGGAGGGGGCUAGCGUUGUUCGGAAUUACUGGGCGUAAAGCGCGCGUAGGCGGACCUGCAAGUCGGGGGUGAAAGCCCGAGGCUCAACCUCGGAACUGCCUUCGAUACUGCGGGUCUCGAGUCCGGGAGAGGUGAGUGGAAUUCCUAGUGUAGAGGUGAAAUUCGUAGAUAUUAGGAAGAACACCAGUGGCGAAGGCGGCUCACUGGCCCGGUACUGACGCUGAGACGCGAAAGCGUGGGGAGCGAACGGG
rnacentral:rRNA from 1 species